rnacentral:rRNA from 1 species
GGGUUGUGAGGUUAAGCGACUAAGCGUACACGGUGGAUGCCCUGGCAGUCAGAGGCGAUGAAGGACGUGCUAAUCUGCGAUAAGCGUCGGUAAGGUGAUAUGAACCGUUAUAACCGGCGAUUUCCGAAUGGGGAAACCCAGUGUGUUUCGACACACUAUCAUUAACUGAAUCCAUAGGUUAAUGAGGCGAACCGGGGGAACUGAAACAUCUAAGUACCCCGAGGAAAAGAAAUCAACCGAGAUUCCCCCAGUAGCGGCGAGCGAACGGGGAGCAGCCCAGAGCCUGAAUCAGUGUGUGUGUUAGUGGAAGCGUCUGGAAAGGCGCGCGAUACAGGGUGACAGCCCCGUACACAAAAAUGCACAUGCUGUGAGCUCGAUGAGUAGGGCGGGACACGUGGUAUCCUGUCUGAAUAUGGGGGGACCAUCCUCCAAGGCUAAAUACUCCUGACUGACCGAUAGUGAACCAGUACCGUGAGGGAAAGGCGAAAAGAACCCCGGCGAGGGGAGUGAAAAAGAACCUGAAACCGUGUACGUACAAGCAGUGGGAGCACGCUUCGGCGUGUGACUGCGUACCUUUUGUAUAAUGGGUCAGCGACUUAUAUUCUGUAGCAAGGUUAACCGAAUAGGGGAGCCGAAGGGAAACCGAGUCUUAACUGGGCGUUAAGUUGCAGGGUAUAGACCCGAAACCCGGUGAUCUAGCCAUGGGCAGGUUGAAGGUUGGGUAACACUAACUGGAGGACCGAACCGACUAAUGUUGAAAAAUUAGCGGAUGACUUGUGGCUGGGGGUGAAAGGCCAAUCAAACCGGGAGAUAGCUGGUUCUCCCCGAAAGCUAUUUAGGUAGCGCCUCGUGAAUUCAUCUCCGGGGGUAGAGCACUGUUUCGGCAAGGGGGUCAUCCCGACUUACCAACCCGAUGCAAACUGCGAAUACCGGAGAAUGUUAUCACGGGAGACACACGGCGGGUGCUAACGUCCGUCGUGAAGAGGGAAACAACCCAGACCGCCAGCUAAGGUCCCAAAGUCAUGGUUAAGUGGGAAACGAUGUGGGAAGGCCCAGACAGCCAGGAUGUUGGCUUAGAAGCAGCCAUCAUUUAAAGAAAGCGUAAUAGCUCACUGGUCGAGUCGGCCUGCGCGGAAGAUGUAACGGGGCUAAACCAUGCACCGAAGCUGCGGCAGCGACGCUUAUGCGUUGUUGGGUAGGGGAGCGUUCUGUAAGCCUGCGAAGGUGUGCUGUGAGGCAUGCUGGAGGUAUCAGAAGUGCGAAUGCUGACAUAAGUAACGAUAAAGCGGGUGAAAAGCCCGCUCGCCGGAAGACCAAGGGUUCCUGUCCAACGUUAAUCGGGGCAGGGUGAGUCGACCCCUAAGGCGAGGCCGAAAGGCGUAGUCGAUGGGAAACAGGUUAAUAUUCCUGUACUUGGUGUUACUGCGAAGGGGGGACGGAGAAGGCUAUGUUGGCCGGGCGACGGUUGUCCCGGUUUAAGCGUGUAGGCUGGUUUUCCAGGCAAAUCCGGAAAAUCAAGGCUGAGGCGUGAUGACGAGGCACUACGGUGCUGAAGCAACAAAUGCCCUGCUUCCAGGAAAAGCCUCUAAGCAUCAGGUAACAUCAAAUCGUACCCCAAACCGACACAGGUGGUCAGGUAGAGAAUACCAAGGCGCUUGAGAGAACUCGGGUGAAGGAACUAGGCAAAAUGGUGCCGUAACUUCGGGAGAAGGCACGCUGAUAUGUAGGUGAGGUCCCUCGCGGAUGGAGCUGAAAUCAGUCGAAGAUACCAGCUGGCUGCAACUGUUUAUUAAAAACACAGCACUGUGCAAACACGAAAGUGGACGUAUACGGUGUGACGCCUGCCCGGUGCCGGAAGGUUAAUUGAUGGGGUUAGCGCAAGCGAAGCUCUUGAUCGAAGCCCCGGUAAACGGCGGCCGUAACUAUAACGGUCCUAAGGUAGCGAAAUUCCUUGUCGGGUAAGUUCCGACCUGCACGAAUGGCGUAAUGAUGGCCAGGCUGUCUCCACCCGAGACUCAGUGAAAUUGAACUCGCUGUGAAGAUGCAGUGUACCCGCGGCAAGACGGAAAGACCCCGUGAACCUUUACUAUAGCUUGACACUGAACAUUGAGCCUUGAUGUGUAGGAUAGGUGGGAGGCUUUGAAGUGUGGACGCCAGUCUGCAUGGAGCCGACCUUGAAAUACCACCCUUUAAUGUUUGAUGUUCUAACGUUGACCCGUAAUCCGGGUUGCGGACAGUGUCUGGUGGGUAGUUUGACUGGGGCGGUCUCCUCCUAAAGAGUAACGGAGGAGCACGAAGGUUGGCUAAUCCUGGUCGGACAUCAGGAGGUUAGUGCAAUGGCAUAAGCCAGCUUGACUGCGAGCGUGACGGCGCGAGCAGGUGCGAAAGCAGGUCAUAGUGAUCCGGUGGUUCUGAAUGGAAGGGCCAUCGCUCAACGGAUAAAAGGUACUCCGGGGAUAACAGGCUGAUACCGCCCAAGAGUUCAUAUCGACGGCGGUGUUUGGCACCUCGAUGUCGGCUCAUCACAUCCUGGGGCUGAAGUAGGUCCCAAGGGUAUGGCUGUUCGCCAUUUAAAGUGGUACGCGAGCUGGGUUUAGAACGUCGUGAGACAGUUCGGUCCCUAUCUGCCGUGGGCGCUGGAGAACUGAGGGGGGCUGCUCCUAGUACGAGAGGACCGGAGUGGACGCAUCACUGGUGUUCGGGUUGUCAUGCCAAUGGCACUGCCCGGUAGCUAAAUGCGGAAGAGAUAAGUGCUGAAAGCAUCUAAGCACGAAACUUGCCCCGAGAUGAGUUCUCCCUGACCCUUUAAGGGUCCUGAAGGAACGUUGAAGACGACGACGUUGAUAGGCCGGGUGUGUAAGCGCAGCGAUGCGUUGAGCUAACCGGUACUAAUGAACCGUGAGGCUUAACCUUACAACGCCGAAGCUGUU